UUCUACUAACAACAUUAGACAUUUAUGCUUUGCAGACAAUAGUGCAGAAACGGAGUGGAAAGAAAAUACAAUGUGAGGGCACGGACAAACAGCCCGGUAGAGGUGGUGCUUCCCGAGGAAAAACUGUGCGAAGAAUAGUGAAACUCACUCCCAAAGAUAAGGAGACACCGAAGAAAAAUAGAAAGAUCAUUCGAGCAGCCGAUAGGGCGGCUUAUCAUUCAACAGGGAGUGAGUACGAACCCUCCUGGGACAUCACUUCAGAGUCCAUCCC
rnacentral:lncRNA from 1 species